GAUGAACGCUGGCGGCGUGCCUAAUACAUGCAAGUCGAACGCAUAGCGAAAGGUGCUUGCACCUUUCAAGUGAGUGGCGAACGGGUGAGUAACACGUGGACAACCUGCCUCAAGGCUGGGGUUAACAUUUGGAAACAGAUGCUAAUACCGAAUAAAACUUAGUGUCGCAUGACACUAAGUUAAAAGGCGCUUCGGCGUCACCUAUAGCUGGAUCCGCGGUGCAUUAGUUAGUUGGUGGGGUAAAGGCCUACCAAGACAAUGAUGCAUAGCCGAGUUGAGAGAGUGAUCGGCCACAUUGGGACUGAGACACGGCCAAAAAUCCGACGGGAGGCUGCAGUAGGGAAUAUUCCACAAUGGGCGAAAGCAUGAUGGAGCAACGCCGCGUGUGAGAUGAAGGCUUUCGGGUCGUAAAGCACUGUUGUAUGGGAAGAACAGCUAGAAUAGGAAAUGAUUUUAGUGUGACGGUACCAUACCAGAAAGGGACGGCUAAAUACGUG
rnacentral:rRNA from 1 species